CUACGGGUGGCUGCAGUGAGGAAUUUUGCGCAAUGGGGGAAACCCUGACGCAGCAACGCCGCGUGAGCGAAGAAGGCCUUCGGGUCGUAAAGCUCUGUCAAGUGGGAAAAAAUCCUUUCAGUGAAUAGUUGAAAGGCCUGAUGGUACCACUGGAGGAAGCACCGGCUAACUCCGUGCCAGCAGCCGCGGUAAUACGGAGGGUGCAAGCGUUGUUCGGAAUUACCGGGCGUAAAGAGCGUGUAGGCGGUUUGGCAAGUCAGAUGUGAAAGCCCCGGGCUCAACCUGGGAAGUGCAUUUGAAACUGCUUCACUAGAGUAUGGGAGAGGAGAGUGGAAUUCCCAGUGUAGAGGUGAAAUUCGUAGAUAUUGGGAGGAACACCCGUGGCGAAGGCGACUCUCUGGACCAAUACUGACGCUGAGACGCGAAAGCGUGGGGAGCAAACAGGAUUAGAUACCCUGGUAGUC
rnacentral:rRNA from 1 species